CAGACUGACUCCCCGCCGUGCCCGAGGCAGUGGGUUACCCAAGACCGAAGAGAGCAGCCUUGGUUUUACUUCUGGUCACUUGGAUUUGGUCACAUUGUCCCUAAGCUUUUGUCCCCACAAGGACUUUGAACAUUGGAGAAUUCCCUGUAACAAUGGAAGAUGAUUUUUAUGACAAAAUGUGUGUCAACACUCUCCUGGGUAUUAGAAGCCUCAUGAGAACCUGUCUUGUCCUCCAUGGAAACCAACAUAGAAGAACCAGCCCCCACCUUGAGGCUGCUCUGCUCAGAGAGGUACGUGGCCAUGACAGUCUUCCAGAGGCCUCUGGAGCAGGUGCCCUCAAAUGUGUUUCUCCCACACACUUCCAAAUGAUACCAAGGGAUACUUGGCAGAAAUGUUG